GACAGCUCACAGGACACAGCUCAGAAUAUCGUCCGUAGCCCUAGAGGAAGGGCUAGACGUCCUUGUUCGCGCUUCAUCGCUAAACGCUUUAGUCUUGUUGGACUGUUUCCCUGUUUCUGCUUUUUUUUCCCCACUUCUCUCAGGUUGAAACUUACUCUUUGGCUGAAGUUUUUCCACAGACAAGAGACAGCAGAAGGGUAUGGGGGACAAGCCCCAUUUCAGUUUGGGUCCUCAAACCCACCCUACACUCAACAGACUGUCUGCUUGGUCCUGACCUUUGAGCUGGGCGUUCAGUUGACAGGACCGGGAUUCAGGCUUGUGUGCAGCUUUCUUUUCCAGAGGAGACCCCCAGAGCCGUCCUGCCAGGCACACAGCCUAAAGUCUACAGGCAGCCUCUUCCAGAAUGGACGGCACAGCCGCGCUUCCCUCCGUGGUUUUCCCCUUCUUUGUCAGUCUUCCGGGGUGAAGGACACAUGAUAGCCUACCAUGAUUUUCAGGCACCAUCUGCACACGCAUUUUUCUCUGACACUCUCUGCCACUCAUUCUGAAGAUUUUAAGAUGUGAGUCUAAAAAUAA
rnacentral:lncRNA from 1 species